rnacentral:rRNA from 1 species
UGGGGAAUAUUGCACAAUGGGCGCAAGCCUGAUGCAGCCAUGCCGCGUGUAUGAAGAAGGCCUUCGGGUUGUAAAGUACUUUCAGCGGGGAGGAAGGCGAUGCGGUUAAUAACCGCGUCGAUUGACGUUACCCGCAGAAGAAGCACCGGCUAACUCCGUGCCAGCAGCCGCGGUAAUACGGAGGGUGCAAGCGUUAAUCGGAAUUACUGGGCGUAAAGCGCACGCAGGCGGUCUGUCAAGUCGGAUGUGAAAUCCCCGGGCUCAACCCGGGAACUGCAUUCGAAACUGGCAGACUAGAGUCUUGUAGAGGGGGGUAGAAUUCCAGGUGUAGCGGUGAAAUGCGUAGAGAUCUGGAGGAAUACCGGUGGCGAAGGCGGCCCCCUGGACAAAGACUGACGCUCAGGUGCGAAAGCGUGGGGAGCAAACGGGAUUAGAUACCCUGGUAGUCCACGCCGUAAACGAUGUCGACCUGGAGGCUGUUCCCUUGAGGAGUGGCUUCCGGAGCUAACGCGUUAAGUCGACCGCCUGGGGAGUACGGCCGCAAGGUUAAAACUCAAAUGAAUUGACGGGGGCCCGCACAAGCGGUGGAGCAUGUGGUUUAAUUCGAUGC